UCCUCGAUAGCUCAGCGGUAGAGCAUCCGACUGUUAAUCGGACGGUCGUAGGUUCGAAUCCUACUCGAGGAGCCA
rnacentral:tRNA from 2 species